GACGAACGCUGGCGGCGUGCUUAACACAUGCAAGUCGAACGGAAAGGCCCUGCUUUUGUGGGUUGCUCGAGUGGCGAACGGGUGAGUAACACGUGAGUAACCUGCCCUUGACUUUGGGAUAACUUCAGGAAACUGGGGCUAAUACCGGAUAGGAGCUCCUGCUGCAUGGUGGGGGUUGGAAAGUUUCGGCGUUUGGGGAUGGACUCGCGGCUUAUCAGCUUGUUGGUGGGGUAGUGGCUUACCAAGGCUUUGACGGGUAGCCGGCCUGGGAGGGUGACCGGCGACAUUGGGACUGAGAUACGGCCCAGACUGCUACGGGAGGCAGCAGUGGGGAAUAUUGCACAAUGGGCGGAAGCCUGAUGCAGCAACGCCGCGUGCGGGAUGACGGCCUUCGGGUUGUAAACCGCUUUCGCCUGUGACGAAGCGUGAGUGACGGUAAUGGGUAAAGAAGCACCGGCUAACUACGUG
rnacentral:rRNA from 1 species